rnacentral:rRNA from 1 species
CUUUCUUCACCACGGACCGCCAAGUUUCCAGCACCGAUCAUUGAAGAACUACUCGACGAGCUACACGACGCACACUGGUUUUCCAUGUUGGACCUGUGCGCAGGCUACCACCAGACCAAGCUCGCGGAAGGGGAGGAAUUCAAGAUGGUGUUCCAGACCAAUUCCGGCCACUUCGAGUACAAGGUGGUCUCCUUUGGGCUUGCGGGCGUACCGGCAACAUUCAACGGCGCCAUGACUCACACGCUCCACCCCCUCCUACGACGCUGCAUGCCGCUCUUCUUUGACGACAUCCUCAUCUUCAAUCGCACCAUGUAA